rnacentral:rRNA from 1 species
AUUAAUUCGAUGCAACGCGAAAACCUUACCUACCCUUGACAUGUCCGGAACUUGCCAGAGAUGGCUUGGUGCCCGAAAGGGAAUCGGAACACAGGUGCUGCAUGGCUGUCGUCAGCUCGUGUCGUGAGAUGUUGGGUUAAGUCCCGCAACGAGCGCAACCCUUAUCAUUAGUUGCUACGCAAGGGCACUCUAAUGAGACUGCCGGUGACAAACCGGAGGAAGGUGGGGAUGACGUCAAGUCCUCAUGGCCCUUAUGGGUAGGGCUUCACACGUCAUACAAUGGAUGGUACAAAGGGUCGCCAACCCGCGAGGGGGAGCCAAUCCCAUAAAGCCAUUCGUAGUCCGGAUCGCAGUCUGCAACUCGACUGCGUGAAGUCGGAAUCGCUAGUAAUCGUGGAUCAGAAUGUCACGGUGAAUACGUUCCCGGGUCUU